CGAGGCUCUUGGUCGGGAUCCGGAGCGGCUGAGAUCCAAGACGCCGGUCUGGGGCGACCCACAGUCAGUCACACCGAUGAGGACACAUGAAAGCAAUCAAAGCCCGGUGGCACCAAAACUGGUCAGUGUGACCCACAGCCUGCCGUAAAAAAAAAAACCCUACGAGACUCUCCGGCUGCGGCGGGGAUUUAAAACAGGACACUCGUUGUUUACCUCCAUUCCAUUAGCAUUAUGCCGGCGGACAAUGUGUCGUUGUACGUGAUUAAUUAUCUCAACCGAGGGGCCACGGUGUUGCUAUCUAACACUGAAGUAAACACUGGCCGCACAUGCUGUUUUGGAACGAGAGAGCGCUGUUGGCUAGGUGGCUCAGUUGACCUUUGGACACGGUAAAUAUUUAGGACACGGCCAUUUUGGAGAAAGCUCCCUCCAGUCACGGACCGAACAGAAUCCGAUACGGCAGAGCCAGACGGAGCUCAGCUUUUGGCUUCUGACUCUCUGUUUACCUUGCCGUGCCGUGCCGACGUGUGUGUUCGCCGCGUCGUGGAACGCUGAAAAUAGGCUUUCGGUGACAGGACCUCUGAGACGGCGCGGCGGAACGCGCGUGAGGAGAGGUGACACUUGUGCUUUUUGAACCAGAAAUAUCUUCCCGUCGCACGUCACAUUGUGACUUUGGUUUGGAAGCGAGCUUAAGCUAGGCAUAUGGAGGACUACAGCAGGAAGAGGAACACACGUUGUUCCUGGAGGACGUUCGCUGACGGGGAGGAAGAGUGGAGGCUAGAAAGAGACGAAGAAGAAGAAGAAGAAGAGGAGGAGGAGGAGGAAGAGGUGGGGAGCGGCCUCAUCUGCUCUGUCCUAUCUGCGUAAUUACAAAGCCUCUCCGUCUAGUAAUUAACACCCUCUUAUUAGUUUCUUAAUAGAGAGCCCGCAGGUAGGAAUGCCAAGUGACGCUAAACUCCCUGGCACACAUUAGCAUGACAAUGCCACACACACACACACACACACACGCUAAAGAAUGGAGGCCCACGGACUGACGAGCAAACUCUAGGCUGAUGAGGCCAGACACCUGCAGCAUUCUCUCUUUC